rnacentral:snRNA from 1 species
UACUUUGCGCAGUGGCAGUAUCGUAGCCAGUGAGAUUUAUCCGAGGUGCGAGUAUUGCUAAUAAUUGAAAACUUCUCCCAAGACAACCUUCUUAUCUGUGUGUAGAUCAUCUCAAAACAAAAUCUCUGGCCAGGCAGCC